rnacentral:rRNA from 1 species
GACGAACGCUGGCGGCGUGCCUAAUACAUGCAAGUCGAACGCUUCUUUCCUCCCGAGUGCUUGCCCUCAAUUGGAAAGAGGAGUGGCGGACGGGUGAGUAACACGUGGGUAACCUACCCAUCAGAGGGGGAUAACACUUGGAAACAGGUGCUAAUACCGCAUAACAGUUUAUGCCGCAUGGCAUAAGAGUGAAAGGCGCUUUCGGGUGUCGCUGAUGGAUGGACCCGCGGUGCAUUAGCUAGUUGGUGAGGUAACGGCUCACCAAGGCCACGAUGCAUAGCCGACCUGAGAGGGUGAUCGGCCACACUGGGACUUAGACACGGCCCAGACUCCUACGGGAGGCAGCAGUAGGGAAUCUUCGACAAUGGACGAAAGUCUGACCGAGCAACGCCGCGUGAGUGAAGAAGGUUUUCGGAUCGUAAAACUCUGUUGUUAGUGAAGAACAAGGACGUUAGUAACUGAACGUCCCCUGACGGUAUCUAACCAGAAAGCCACGGCUAACUACGUG